rnacentral:rRNA from 1 species
UGGGGAAUUUUGGACAAUGGGCGAAAGCCUGAUCCAGCAAUGCCGCGUGUGGUGAAGAAGGCCUUCGGGUUGUAAACACUUUUGUCCGGAAAGAAAUCCUCUGGGUUAAUACCUCGGGGGGAUGACGGUCCGGAAGAAUAAGCACCGGCUAACUACGUGCCAGCAGCCGCGGUAAUACGUAGGGUGCAAGCGUUAAUCGGAAUUACUGGGCGUAAAGCGUGCGCAGGCGGUUUUGUAAGACGGAUGUGAAAUCCCGGGCUUAACCUGGGAACUGCAUUCGUGACGUGCAAGGCUAGAGUAUGGCAGAGGGGGGUUAAAUUCCACGUGUGAGCAGUGAAAUGCGUAGAGAUGUGGAGGAAUACCGAUGGCGAAGGCA